GAUGAACGCUAGCGGCAGGCUUAAUACAUGCAAGUCGAGGGACAGCACAGGUAGCAAUACUGGGUGGUAACCGGCAAACGGGUGCGGAACACGUACACAACCUUCCUUUAAGUGGGGGAUAGCCCAGAGAAAUUUGGAUUAAUACCCCGUAAUAUAGUUGAAUGGCAUCAUUUGAUUAUUAUAGCUACGGCGCUUAAUGAUGGGUGUGCGGCUGAUUAGAUAGUUGGCGGGGUAACGGCCCACCAAGUCUACGAUCAGUAGCUGAUGUGAGAGAAUGCUCAGCCACACGGGAACUGGGACACGGGCCCGACUCCUACGGGAGGCAGCAAUUAGGAAUAUUGGACAAUGGACGCAAGUCUGAACCAGCCAUGCCGCGUGAAGGAUUAAGGUCCUCUGGAUUGUAAACUUCUUUUAUUUGGGACGAAAAGGGGCCUUUCUAGGUCAACUGACGGUACCAGAUGAAUAAGCACCGGCUAACUCCGUGCCAGCCGCCGCCGUAAUAC
rnacentral:rRNA from 1 species